rnacentral:lncRNA from 1 species
AGUUUAUUUCUAGGCUGAGUACAUGGCUAUACUUGGAUCUCCCUUUGCCUUUAUCUCUGGGAUUUCCUUUGCUCUUUCUUGGAUUGACGUUCUCAUUUCCCAGACUCCAUGUCUUCCUCUUUCUUGCUUUGCCUCAUAAUUUUGGACUUACCUAGUAGCUUCUUCUUCUUUUUUUUUUUUUUCCUUUUUCACAUCAGAUGGGAAAUGUGCCAACGUCACAACAAGGUUUGAGGGAGGCACAUCUCAUGCUCGGACAUGAACACCCGAUCAUCAUGCUUAUGAACUACAAAAGGAUCUCCAGUAUGGGCUCACGGCAGUUGGCCCUUGAAUAACAUGAAUUUGAACUGCCUGAGUCUGCUAAUAUGUGGAUUAUCUUCUGCUUCUGCACCCUGAGACAGCAAGACCAACCCUUCCUCUUGCUUCUUUUCCUUAGCCUAUUCAACGUGAAGAUGACUAAGUUCCUCCUGCAUUCAUUUCUCUUCCUGCUGCCUUGUGAAGAAGGUGCCUUGCUUCCCCUUCACCUUCUACGGUGAUUGCAAGUUGCCUGAGGAUUCCCCAGCCAUGUGAAACUGGACAUGGAUGAAGCUGGAGACCAUCAUUCUCAGCAAACUAACACAAGAACAGAAAACCAAACACCACAUGUUCUCACUGGGAUUUCAAGACACAUUUGAUAUCUUACAGAGCUGAUAGCUGCCGUGCAUAGGGGAAAUAAAUGAGAGGAAUAUGUCUGCAUAGUGGGGGUGCAGCUAGCCUUGGGUAGUGAUUCAUUUAAUAUUCUUUUGGCUGCAAGUAACAGAAUAUCCAAAU